GAUGAACGCUGGCGGCGUGCCUAAUACAUGCAAGUCGAGCGAACAGACGAGGAGCUUGCUCCUCUGACGUUAGCGGCGGACGGGUGAGUAACACGUGGAUAACCUACCUAUAAGACUGGGAUAACUUCGGGAAACCGGAGCUAAUACCGGAUAAUAUAUUGAACCGCAUGGUUCAAUAGUGAAAGACGGUUUUGCUGUCACUUAUAGAUGGAUCCGCGCCGCAUUAGCUAGUUGGUAAGGUAACGGCUUACCAAGGCAACGAUGCGUAGCCGACCUGAGAGGGUGAUCGGCCACACUGGAACUGAGACACGGUCCAGACUCCGACGGGAGGCAGCAGUAGGGAAUCUUCCGCAAUGGGCGAAAGCUUGACGGAGCAACGCCGCGUGAGUGAUGAAAGUCUUCGGAUCGUAAAACUCUGUUAUUAGGGAAGAACAAAUGUGUAAGUAACUAUGCACGUCUUGACGGUACCUAAUCAGAAAGCCACGGCUAACUACGUG
rnacentral:rRNA from 1 species